GGGGUUGUAGGUCAGUGGUAGAGCACUUGCCUAGCAUGCAUGAGGCACUGGGUUCAAUCCUCAGCACCA
rnacentral:tRNA from 1 species